AUUGAACGCUGGCGGCAGGCCUAACACAUGCAAGUCGAGCGAGCGGCGGACGGGUGAGUAAUGUCUGGGAAACUGCCUGAUGGAGGGGGAUAACUACUGGAAACGGUAGCUAAUACCGCAUACCAUCAGAUGUACCCAGAUGGGAUUAGCUAGUAGGUGGGGUAAUGGCUCACCUAGGCGACGAUCCCUAUCUGGUCUGCGAGGAUGACCAGCCACACUAGAACUGAGACCCGGUCCCGCCUCCUACGGUAGGCAGCAGUGGGGAAUAUUGCACAAUGGGCUCAAGCCUGAUGCAGCCAUGCCGCGUGUGUGAAGGAGGCCUUCGGGUUGUAAAGCACUUUCAUCGAGGAGGCGUUACUCGCAGAAGAAGCACCGGCUAACUCCGUGCCAGCAGCCGCGGUAAUAC
rnacentral:rRNA from 1 species